rnacentral:lncRNA from 1 species
UUAGUACUAACAUGUUUAAGUUUCUGAAAAAAUUUGAUAGCAUUUUUUUUUUUUGAGAGAUAGAUAGCAUGCUAUCCGUUUCACUUAUUUCAUUUAGAAAUAAACUUAGAUAGAAAUGUGAAUUAACUAGGAUUCGAACUUGGAUCUCGAAUACCAACCACCAAACCCUUUGCCACUUGCUCUAGGGACAGUCGAUAAUUUGAUAGCAUGUUGGCCUUGAUGCGGAAAGUGCGCAAUAAUUUAAAAG